AACAAAACUCACGCCUGGCGUGGUAUUGAGCCUAGGACCUUGAGUGUCGGGCUCCAAAUGCGUCGGCUAUAAAUUAGUAAAUGGGGAGUGCUGUAGCAGGCCGCCGCAAAUAUCGACAAAUAUAUGCGGUGGGGAGUUUGUAGGCCCCUGCCCUUUAGCGUUCGCAUCGGUGACUCGGACCGAACACAA
rnacentral:misc_RNA from 1 species